rnacentral:rRNA from 1 species
AGUGAACGCUGGCGGUAGACCUAACACAUGCAAGUCGAACGGCAGCACAGUAAGAGCUUGCUCUUACGGGUGGCGAGUGGCGGACGGGUGAGGAAUACAUCGGAAUCUACUUUUUCGUGGGGGAUAACGUAGGGAAACUUACGCUAAUACCGCAUACGACCUACGGGUGAAAGCAGGGGAUCUUCGGACCUUGCGCGAUUGAAUGAGCCGAUGUCGGAUUAGCUAGUUGGCGGGGUAAAGGCCCACCAAGGCGACGAUCCGUAGCUGGUCUGAGAGGAUGAUCAGCGACACUGGAACUGAGACACGGUCCAGACUCCUAAGGGAGGCAGCAGUGGGGAAUAUUGGACAAUGGGCGCAAGCCUGAUCCAGCCAUACCGCGUGGGUGAAGAAGGCCUUCGGGUUGUAAAGCCCUUUUGUUGGGAAAGAAAAGCAGCAGGUUAAUACCACGCUGUUCUGACGGUACCCAAAGAAUAAGCACCGGCUAACUUCGUG